AUCUCACUUGAAGCCAUGUCUGAUUUUUCCCAAUUUAGAGCAGUCCAUCCGUCAUCAUACUGACACGGAUGUUGAUGUUCUGGUGAUCAUCUAUGGUUCACAGAAACAACUGCUUUGCAAAUCUUAACAAGGGAACUGAAAAAUGAGUCAUAAAUAGUACUAUUAGCCGAGGAAUGAGUAAAACUUUCGUCGUGGAGAUAAAUUAUAAACAGGAACAAUUUCUGUAGUGCUCAAGGGUUGCACGAGCUUUAUUUUGCCCCAAUCAGCCUCAUCUUCAAGAGCAAACAGAUAGGUUCGAUUAAUAAGGCUUGUUACAUAAUUAGAUACAUAAAAAGAAUACCACAUCUUGUAGAAUUACUUACAACAUCCACUCUUUUGAAGCAUUUUGUACAACCUUGGAAGAUCAUAUUCAUGCGGCUUCUAAAAUAAGCAUCUGCAUUAAUUUCUAACCUACUCCCUCCAUUUAAUUUAGUUGGCCUUUUUGCUAAAAAUAUUUCUUUUGAUUUAGUUGUCCCAUUUAUGAAAUCAAGGAAAUUUGUUUCAAUUUAAUUAUCCAUUUACUCAAAUUUAUAUUUUCAAAACGUGAUUAUAAUGCUAAUUUGGUAAAAUAAACUCCUAAUAAAUAUUUUCUUAAGGAGAGUGUCAAGUCAACGAGGGCGAACUAUUUAGAAACUGAAGGAGUAAUUAAAUGGUUGAUUUUAAUCUCACGUGUAAAAUCACAUGGGCUAACUUAGCUUAACCUGAUUAACCAAUAGUACUAUCUAUGUUGCAUCAUGACCUAAACUUCAUGUUAUAAGUUCAAAUGAUGUUGAUCACUAUUUCUAGCCUAAUUGAAUGGCUGGGAUAUAAAGUUUGUUCGUCUCAGUGAUAGAAUUAAUCUAUAUCUAUAAAUAUGAAUAUCCAAGGAGAUGGACAGAACGCAUAACCAAUGCCCUUCAAAAAGAAGUCGAUGUUGACUUGAAUCUUUUCCCUCCAGGAUGCGUCCUACGGGUUCUCAAAACACUAACUCACCAGAAACCAGAAACCUAUACUCCUCAGCUCAUUGGCAUAGUACACUAUCACCACUUAAGGCCAGGUCUACAUUAAAUGGAAAGGUACAAACUUGCUGUUAUUAAGGACAUUCUUAAGCCUACUUAAAUCCUUGAUUUUGAGUACCUUUUAAUCAACAAACUCAGAGACAGCGACUUCAUUGUUCAUGCUUGCUAAAACCGCUUCAUGGACAUAGAUAAGGAGAUUUUAGGUUGGAUAGUAGCCAUAGAUGGUCUAUUCUUUCUUAACAUCCCCUAUUUAGUGUAUGGCGAUUACAGGGAUGAUGAUCAUGAAAAUAAUAUUGAAGACUCCAUUUUCAACCGAGAAUUUAUGAUGCUUGAGAAGCAAAUCCCCUUUGUGGUCGGGAGGCAAAUUAGAAAGUUUCUAUGCCUUUCUUCCCCUGAGCACAAAGAGAUGAUGAGUUAAUAUCCAUGUUUUGGCGCUUGUGUGAAAUGCAUUGCCCACGUCCUUUUCUUCAAACAAUGAUUACCAUAGAAAUAACGCCAAAGAAACUUGGCCUCUUCAUUUGUUCGAUCUUAUAUAUCAUUGAUCCUCAAUGGUUGUAUAGAUUUUUCUUCGGUUCCUAUUCAAAUCCAUCCAUAACUAUCAAACACGACAAUAAAAAUGAAGAAGACGAUCAAGAUCAAGAUACUCAUGAAGAACAUCACUCAUAACUUCGGGAGAAUCUUGGAGGUUUUGAAGCCAAAUAGGCCCAAGAAACGUGCAAAAAUUUGUUAAGUCUGUUAACCGGGUUGUAGCAAAUGUGCCAUGGUCAAUAAUUUUGGGGCUAUUUAGGAAAUGUACAGAAAGAAAUGGAGACAAAGAGAGCAAGGAUACUAGAGCUAUACAACAUCCAAAUUAUGGUGUUAUGCCAGAGUCGGAUGCAGCCCAAUCCAAGUGGAUAUCAAUAAAAAUAAAUUUAAACAAUCUUCUUCAACUUUAUAAAUUCCUAUUAUCACCAUGAAUGCUGACUCAGUAGUCAUACUUAGAAACUUGAUGGUCUAUGAAGCUGCCAUGUCGAAAUUGAAGCUCCUAUUUACCAGAUCCAUCAAUCUAAUGUGUGGGAUUGCAGAUGCAACUGAGGGUGUGAGGUUUCUUAGGAAAGCAGGUAUUAUCAAAGGGGAUUUGACUGAUUAUAAAAUUGCCACUUCAGUACCAUGCUCUAAGGUCAUUUGUGAGGUUUAGUGGAUGCUCUAAUGUGGAGAUUGCCAUGGAGAAAGUUAGCAAGUACUAAGACCGGGUGGCAUCCACCUUCACAACCUCGUAUAAAAAGCAAAGUUCUUUUUAAUAAUAAUACAAACUUAAGGAUGGUGAAUAAAAGUGCACUUGUUGACACCUUUAACAAAAACGAAUGGAGGAAAAGAGCAACACCAAUGUGAUAAUACUGAUGAUCUUAAAUAGAGUUCGAGAAGAAAUGUAGUAAGAUGCUAGCUUUUAGUAUUCUUUAUCAAAUUUACCUAGUUUCUGAUUUCUAGGAUUGGAAAACAGGGACGAUUUAAGCAUUUGCAAUAUUCGAUCAGAUUAACGGUCAGGUCAGAAAAUCGAAACUCUCUAAGCAAUCUUGUCAAUAAAGCUAAGAUUCCAUAAAUUUGGAUGGGAUAUCAGGAAAAGCAGAAGACGAUGCAGUCUAGCUCUAUGGGGUAUCAGAAGAGAUUUCCACUGACAAUUUGAGUUUGCCGCAGGCAGAUAUUGUUGGCAGAUUUGAAAAUAUAAAAGAGGUCAUAAUUUCAGAAGCAAGAGCGAUUCAGGAGGACAAAUGAAUGAAAAGUGGCUACAACAUACAAUUUAUUUUUUAUCUAACUUUUAUUGUAUAACAGAUGGACUGGUCGUACAAACUACAAAAGAUAAUUGUCUAGAGAGGUGUAAAACGUUAGAAGUAGAACAGAUGAAUAGAAAUGUCUACAACUUACAAAUCCUUUUUUGCUGGAGAUAAUACUCACUGCCAGAUUAUAAUGCUAGAAUUUUGUGUUUAGAAUCUCACUUGUAUGUCAUGCCCUAAUCAUCAGAUUUUUAAUUUACAAAACUGAUAGUCAAUCAACAAAAGAAACAACCAACAUGUUACCUGUACAGUGAAAUAACAUCCAAUUUUUCUUAGUUACUUACGCUUCUGUUAAAAAAAAGUUUAACCAUGUGAUUCAAGUGUUCUCAGCAUAUUUCAGAUAUUGUUUCACCAUUCCUCGGUAAAAAGUAGAGAAAUUUUCACUAAAAUCAACGAUUUCACAUAAAGUUUGCAGUUGAGAUUCUACUGACAUCACUAGACUAAGCAACAGUCGGAUACGCAAGAUACCAAGUUGUAGUAUAUUAAAGCAGCAUGGUGUAAUUCACCUCCUUGAAGCCUGAACUCCAAAGUAAUAAAAUGAAUUAAAGUUCACAAUAGAUGAUUCUUAUAUCCUAGAUUUUACUACUAAUGAAUGAGUGCAGUCAAUUUGCAGUAAUGCGUAAAUGAUUGAUGGAUUUUACUCUCCUACAUAGUACACAUUCCUGACCAGGUGCAAAACCUAUUUUCCAUUAAAGGAACAUUAAGUAUUAGCAGUGAAUUUUGUAGUAAAAAUAAUAUGCCAAGAAUAUCUGACGUAAAAGAGAAGAAUUAAAAAAUGGCAAACCUUAUUGAGGAAUUGCCACUGAAAGAGUUUUUUUCUAGAGAUUGGAACAAUGGUUAGCGUUUCGCCAAGGCUACUACUAAAGAUAGGAGCAAAAAGUUCUAGACUCAAGUCUGCAAAUAAGCAGAAGCAUAAUAUUCUACUCUGAAAGUGAAAAGCCAGAUAAAUAGCUACGUUAAAUGUGCAGCAGUUCUGCAAAAUCAAAUAAGGAAGACAUACAAUACGAAUUAUAUUAGUUGAAAUACGAACUCGAUUAGGAGCGAAGACAUAGACGUUCAGAUAAAAUGACUUGCAAUUUGUGUUUUGGCCUAGCUUUAACAGAGGAUGUAAAUGGAAGAAACAACGACAAUGACAGAAAUUUGGACAUAAAAUAGAAUGGAAAUAAAUUUUUUGAACCAAAUGAAAAAUCGUAAACCUCAAAUUUUGGGAAUUAACAGGGCAUACCAGAUAGAUUUACAGAGAAGAUGGAAGAUUGUUGGUGUACUGCCAUGGCAUUUCUGCUUUUAAAGAGAGUAAUCGAUGUUAUUAUUGAUAUCUACUUGUUGAAGUGAAGCGUCUGAAACUAUUUCGUUGGUGCCUCAGGCGAGUACAAAAUAAAAGUAUAUAUUUACACAAAUUUUUAGUAUUUCGUGUCAAUAUAUACUUUUACUCGCCUGCAGUAAGUAAUUUUAGUAUAAAUGAGAUUAAUAUAUAUAUAUAUAUAUAUACAACCUUACAUGUUAUUAUCUAUAACUUUCUUUAAUAUCCAUGAUGUAUGUAACUUUUAUAUAUAUAGUAAUUGUUUUGUCGAUAUUUUGUGUAAUUAUAUUUUUUUUUCUGUACUCGCCUGUAAUAAGUAAUUUUAGUAUAAAUGAGAUAAAAAACUCAUUUUAUAUGAAACCAACCUUACAUGUUAUUAUCUAUAACUUUCUUUAAUAUCCAUGAUGUAUGUAACUUUUAUAUAUAUAGUAAUUGUUUUGUCGAUAUUUUGUGUAAAUAUAUAUAUUUUUUCUGUACUCACUUGUAGUAAGUAAUUUUAGUAUAAAUGAGAUUAAAGAAUCAUUUGAAUGUAUAGGAAUAGUUUUAAAUAGGGUAUAUUCAUUAUAUUGAUAGUAUUAAUUUUUGUUAUUUAUUAUUUAAUUUGAUAUAUCAAAAACAACAUGCAUUGCAUUGUCCUCAAUCAUUUUUCUUUCCAUUAAUUUUCUUUUUAAAUAACUAAAUUAAAUUGGGUGGUAGUCCGUCCGGCCUUGCUGUAUGGAGCGGAGUGUUGGCCAGUUAAGAACUCCCACACCCAAAGAAUGAAGGUGGCAGAAAUGCGGAUGUUGCGCUGGAUGUGUGGACUGACCCGAAGGGAUAGAGCUCGGAAUGAGACUAUCCGGGAGAAGGUUGGGGUGACUUCAGUGGAGUGUAAGAUGCGGGAAGCACGAUUGAGAUGGUUCGGACACGUGAAGAGGAGGGGCAUGGAUGCCCCGGUCCGUAGGUGUGAGAGGCUAGCGUUGGAUGG
rnacentral:lncRNA from 1 species